UUGUGCCUACCAGAAGUCGCUGCGAUAACCGUAAGGAGUCAGGCGCCCAAGGUAGGAACGAUGAUUGGGGUGAAGUCGUAACAAGGUAGCCGUAGGUGAACCUGCAGAAGGAUCA
rnacentral:rRNA from 1 species